GGCGCCAUCGUCUAGCCCGGCCUAGGACGCCGCCCUUUCAAGGCGGAAACACGGGUUCGAAUCCCGUUGGCGCUACCA
rnacentral:tRNA from 1 species